rnacentral:ncRNA from 1 species
ACCCCGAAAGGGCAAACCGGUACGAAAGUCCGGGACGCAAAGCUACGGGUCCUUAAGUUCCAUGGGGAAUAGGACGGCUGAGCCGCUGGG